GACACUUUGGCCGAGGGGUUAAGGCGUUCGCCUGCUACUACAUUUGGUACAGCGGAUGGGCUCUGCCCGCGAGCGUUCGAAUCGCUCAGGUGUCG